rnacentral:rRNA from 1 species
GGCGCAUGGUGGAUGCCUUGGCAUCAGAGGCCGAUGAAGGACGUGGGAGGCUGCGAUAUGCCUCGGGGAGCUGCCAACCGAGCGUUGAUCCGAGGAUGUCCGAAUGGGGAAACCCAGCACGAGUGAUGUCGUGUUACCCGUAUCUGAAUUCAUAGGGUGCGGGAGGUAACGCGGGGAAGUGAAACAUCUCAGUACCCGUAGGAAGAGAAAACAAUAGUGAUUCCGUGAGUAGUGGCGAGCGAAAGCGGAGGAUGGCUAAACCGUAUGCAUGUGAUACCGGGUAGGGGUUGUGUGUGCGGGGUUGUGGGACCUUAUUUUCCGGGGCUACCUUCCUGGAGGGCAGUGAGAAAGUGUCGUGGUUAGCGGAAAUGGCUUGGGAUGGCCUGCCGUAGACGGUGAGAGCCCGGUACGUGAAAACCCGACACCUGCCUUGAUUUGUGUUCCCGAGUAGCAGCGGGCCCGUGAAAUCUGCUGUGAAUCUGCCGAGACCACUCGGUAAGCCUGAAUACCUUCUGAUGACCGAUAGCGGAUUAGUACCGUGAGGGAAUGGUGAAAAGUACCCCGGGAGGGGAGUGAAAUAGUACCUGAAACCGUGUGCCUACAAGCCGUCAGAGCCCUCCUUCGUGGUGGGGUGAUGGCGUGCCUUUUGAAGAAUGAGCCUGCGAGUCAGGGACAUGUCGCGAGGUUAACCCGUGUGGGGUAGCCGCAGCGAAAGCGAGUCUGAAUAGGGCGCUAAGUUCGUUGUAUUAGACCCGAAACCUAGUGAUCUAGCCAUGAGCAGGUUGAAGGUGAGGUAACACUCACUGGAGGACCGAACGGGUGUCUGUUGAAAAAGACUCCGAUGACUUGUGGUUAGGGGUGAAAGGCCAAUCAAACUGGGAAAUAGCUGGUUCUCCGCGAAAGAUAUUUAGGUAUCGCCUCGGAUGAAUACCUCAGGGGGUAGAGCACUGGAUGGGCUAGGGGGACUUACCGUCUUACCAAACCCAACCAAACUCCGAAUACCUGAGAGUACUAUCCGGGAGUCACACGGCGGGUGCUAACGUCCGUCGUGGAGAGGGAAACAACCCGGACCUACAGCUAAGGCCCCUAAUUCGUGGCUAAGUGGGAAAGGAUGUGGGACUCCCAAAACAACCAGGAGGUUGGCUUAGAAGCAGCCAUCCUUUAAAGAAAGCGUAACAGCUCACUGGUCUAAAUAAGGGUUCCUGCGCCGACAAUGUAACGGGGCUCAAGCCAUGUGCCGAAGCUGCGGAUGUGAUCGCAAGAUCACGUGGUAGCGGAGCGUUCCCUAGGCCUGCGAAGGGCGACUCGUGAGAGCGCCUGGAGGUAUGGGAAGUGCGAAUGCUGACAUGAGUAACGACAAACAGUGUGAGAGACACUGUCGCCGAAAGUCCAAGGGUUCCUGCGUAAAGCUAAUCUGCGCAGGGUUAGUCGGCCCCUAAGGCGAGGCUGAAAAGCGUAGUCGAUGGGAAGCAGGUAAAUAUUCCUGCACCAGCUGGAAGUGACGGAUGGCUUAACUCGUACCCACUUAUUGGAUUGUGUGUGCGGGGGCGUUGUCCCAGGAAAUAACUCCAGCAGAGACCGUACCCGAAACCGACACAGGUGGUCAGGUAGAGCAUACCAAGGCGUUUGAGAGAACUAUGCUGAAGGAACUCGGCAAAUUGCACGCGUAACUUCGGAAUAAGCGUGACUCAC